rnacentral:rRNA from 1 species
AGUGAACGCUGGCGGUAGGCCUAACACAUGCCAGUCGAACGGCAGCACAGUAAGAGCUUGCUCUUACGGGUGGCGAGUGGCGGACGGGUGAGGAAUACAUCGGAAUCUACUUUUUCGUGGGGGAUAACGUAGGGAAACUUACGCUAAUACCGCAUACGACCUACGGGUGAAAGCAGGGGAUCUUCGGACCUUGCGCGAUUGAAUGAGCCGAUGUCGGAUUAGCUAGUUGGCGGGGUAAAGGCCCACCAAGGCGACGAUCCGUAGCUGGUCUGAGAGGAUGAUCAGCCACACUGGAACUGAGACACGGUCCAGACUCCUACGGGAGGCAGCAGUGGGGAAUAUCGGACAAUGGGCGCAAGCCUGAUCCAGCCAUACCGCGUGGGUGAAGAAGGCCUUCGGGUUGUAAAGCCCUUUUGUUGGGAAAGAAAAGCAGCAGGUUAAUACCCCGCUGUUCUGACGGUACCCAAAGAAUAAGCACCGGCUAACUUCGUG